UAUAUAGCUGAAGUCCACUGCUUCUCUUUUAUUCUUUUUGACUUUUCAACUCUUCUUUUCUUUUUCUUUUUUUUAUUUUUGGAUAAAAAGUACAAAUAUUACAGUCACAGCCUCACAUUGGUCAGGGCUCAAAUUCAUCCAAUCUGGAUUAGGGCUUCAAACUUUGUCACUACAAGAUCAUGCAAACCUUGCCGAGUCAUGGACAAUUCAUCACUCGCUGCAACCCGGGUUAUGAUAGAGAGAAAGAAUUGCAGGAAUUCGACGAGACCAAGGCCGGAGUCAAAGGCCUUGUGGACUCUGGCGCGACCAAGAUCCCCAGAAUCUUCAUCUUCCCACCCGAGAACUUGCACGGUUUGUCAACUGAUGCAAACAGGACGGGCAUCCAGUUGCCAAUCGUCGAUCUCAAAGGCUAUCGGGAUUCUCGGCGGGGAGAUAUCAUCGAUGGUAUUCGCGAAGCAUCAGAGGCAUGGGGUUUCUUUCAGAUAAUCAAUCACGGGAUUCCGCUCGACGUGAUGGACAGCAUGUUGGAGGGUGUGAAGAAAUUCCAUGAGCAACGAGUGGAACUGAAGAGAGAGCUGUACUCUAGAGAUGGUACGAAGAGAGUGAGGUACUUUUGCAAUGGAGAUCUGUUCCUCUCAAAAGCAGCGAGUUGGAGGGACACUGUCAUGUUUGAUUUCCAGGAUGGUGGCCUAGACCCAGAGGCUGUUCCUCCUAUUUGCAGAGAGGCAGUUUUCGAGUACGAGAAGCAUAUGGCAGAACUGAAGGCAUCUUUAGCUGAACUACUAUCGGAGGCAUUGGGCCUUGGUUCUGAUUAUCUCAGUGGCACCGAGUGUAUGAAAUCGGAGACGGUCCUAGGCCAUUACUACCCAGCUUGUCCUGAACCAGAGUUGACUCUCGGUACAGUCAAUCACUCGGACAUAUCGUAUCUGACUCUUCUCCUUCAAGACCACCACGGUGGCCUCCAAGUCCUACAUGAAAACCACUGGGUUGAUGUGGUUCCCGUGCAUGGAGCACUACUAGCCAACAUUGGAGACUUCAUGCAGAUUCUUACCAACAACAAGUUCAAAAGCAUGGAGCACCGAGUACUUGCAGCGCAGGUCGGACCCCGUGUUUCCGUCGCGUGCUUUCUCUCCCCAAGCAGGACGGAGAAAACCAAAUCCCUUGGGCCAAUAAGGGAGCUUCUCUCUGAAAAUAAUCCGCCCAUAUACAAAGAAACCUCUCUUUCGGAAUACGUCAACUAUUACAUAUCCCAUGGCCUGAGUGGCAAUUCAACACUUCCUCAUUUCAGGAUAAGUGACUCCAAAUAGAGCAGGGUUGUGGAAAAUCUGAAUGAGAGUACCAUGACUGGUUAUAUCAUGUAUCUGAGUUUGCAAGGAGGAUGCGACUCGUGCAAACUCAAACCCCAUUCACGUGCUCAUUGGUGUGUAACAGGGUCAACACUCAUCUUCACAAAUGAACUCACCAGGAAAACAAGGAUUCCUCCCGAUUGCCAAGGAGAAAUAAAACACAAAGGUCA